GAUGAACGCUAGCGGCAGGCCUAACACAUGCAAGUCGAGGGGUAGAGUGGCUUCGGCUACUUGAGACCGGCGCACGGGUGCGUAACGCGUAUGCAAUCUACCUUGUACAGGGGGAUAGCCCAGAGAAAUUUGGAUUAAUACCCCAUAGUUUAGUUAAAUGGCAUCAUUUGGCUAAUAAAGUUCCAACGGUACAAGAUGAGCAUGCGUCCCAUUAGUUAGUUGGUAAGGUAACGGCUUACCAAGACGAUGAUGGGUAGGGGUCCUGAGAGGGAGAUCCCCCACACUGGUACUGAGACACGGACCAGACUCCUACGGGAGGCAGCAGUGAGGAAUAUUGGUCAAUGGGCGCAAGCCUGAACCAGCCAUGCCGCGUGCAGGAAGACGGUCCUAUGGAUUGUAAACUGCUUUUAUACGGGAAGAAACACUCCCUCGUGAGGGAGCUUGACGGUACCGUAAGAAUAAGGAUCGGCUAACUCCGUG
rnacentral:rRNA from 1 species